CAGCAGCCGCGGUAAUACGUAGGGUGCGAGCGUUAAUCGGAAUUACUGGGCGUAAAGCGUGCGCAGGCAGUUAUAUAAGACAGAUGUGAAAUCCCCGGGCUCAACCUGGGACCUGCAUUUGUGACUGUAUAGCUAGGGUACGGUAGAGGGGGAUGGAAUUCCGCGUGUAGCAGUGAAGUGCGUAGAUAUGCGGAGGAACACCGAUGGCGAAGGCAAUCCCCUGGACCCGUACUGACGCUCAUGCACGAAAGCGUGGGGAGCAAACAGGAUUAGAGACCCCAGUAGUCCCUGUCUCUUAUAC
rnacentral:rRNA from 1 species